GCUCCGCAAACGGCUGAUCUUCAGCUACUUCGAGCUCGGGAUUGGCCGCCUUGGCAAGCUGUGCUACGCUACUCUCUAUCCCUCUGACACCCCAUGCAUAUUUCUGCACUGCACACUGGAGCUCCAUGUUUCUUGUCUUAAUUAUAGGCCUAUGCCACGCCGACAAUGCAGAUAUUAAGGUGACGUGAAGGUUGAAUGAAUCAGCUGAUGCGUGACGUGACGUACUCACUGCCGGUUGAGUUGCCAGUUAUGUUAUUUUAUUUUUGUUUUUUUACCGGCCCAAUCACUUGAUCAUCUUGAGGCAAUGAAUGGCUUUAUAAUUUUUAACGGAUAGCUAU
rnacentral:lncRNA from 1 species